GUUGAAAGUCUGAAGGAACUCCCGGUGUGAUAUGUGUUACAGUAAAGCGUAAACAGCUCAUAUCACAGCAGUAGUUACCUACUAACUUUACACU
rfam:Anopheles funestus strain FTMOZ unplaced genomic scaffold supercont1.121, whole genome shotgun sequence.